UAACCAUGCAGUGGUAUGCGUGUGGUACUGUGUGGUGAGUUUACUUUGCAUUUCCCUGAUGACUAGUGAAGGAAGAAGAUUAAGCCCAGAAAAUCAGGGCGGGAACUUGAGCCUGAAGCAGGGAAAAUGGGAUGGUUCUGGGGCUCAAAACCCCUCAUGUUUGCAAAGACGUCACAGGGGGCCGCAAGCUGUGCAGCCGCCCAGCUCAGCUACCAGGUAUCCUGGAGAGCCUGCUGCGUCAGUAUAAGAAACAGCUCUAUAAUCUUCAUGGUGUGUCUGUACUGGGCAAUCUAAUCAUUCCCUAUCGGAAGUCAUGUCAAGUUAUUACUACUUAUAAAAAAAUUUAAGAUAAUGCUAUAAUAAACAAUUGGCACUUGC